rnacentral:lncRNA from 1 species
CCCACCAAGCUCCACAUAAAAACCAUCGUAAUAGGUACUCUCUGUUCUUGUAUUCGCCUCGCCAUCACUUUCAGUUGCCACCACACAUUUGUUUUCCUUGUAAUCUGCAGCAGAGGAAUUCAUAAGAGCUUCGGUGGCUAGAGAAGUGAGUUGUGAGAGCCACCAAAUUUUCAUAUUCCACAAAUACAAAUUAUUUGUAUUCAGCUAACCUUACAGGAAGAUGGGUCGAGUGGACAUCAAAGAUCGUGUUACCAUAGCACAAUUUAAUAAACUCCGACAAAGCAUGGAAGAAAAGCAAGAGAGGUUGACACAAGAUCUUCAGAAUCUUAUAACUGA